rnacentral:rRNA from 1 species
AUUGAACGCUGGCGGCAGGCCUAACACAUGCAAGUCGAGCGAGCGGCGGACGGGUGAGUAAUGUAUGGGGACUGCCCGAUAGAGGGGGAUAACUACUGGAAACGGUAGCUAAUACCGCAUCCUAUCGGAUAACCCAUAUGGGAUUAGCUCGUAGGUGAGGUAAUUGCUCACCUAGGCGACGAUCCCGAGCUGGUCUGAGAGGAUGAUCAGCCACACGGGGACUGAGACACGGCCCAGAAUCCUACGGAGGCAGCAUUGGGGAAUAUUGCACAAUGGGCGCAAUCCUGAUGCAGCCAUGCCGCGGGUAUGAAGAAGGCCCUAGGGUUGUAAAGUACUGUCAGUCGGGAGGCGUUACCGACAGAAGAAGCACCGGCUAACUCCGUGCCAGCAGCCGCGGUAAUUC